rnacentral:rRNA from 1 species
AUUGAACGCUGGCGGCAGGCCGAACACAUGCAAGUCGAACGGUAACAGGAAGAAGCUUGCUUCUUUGCUGACGAGUGGCGGACGGGUGAGUAAUGUCUGGGAAACUGCCUGAUGGAGGGGGAUAACUACUGGAAACGGUAGCUAAUACCGCAUAACGUCGCAAGACCAAAAAGGGGGACCUUCGGGCCUCUUGCCAUCGGAUGUGCCCAGAUGGGAUUAGCUAGUAGGUGGGGUAACGGCUCACCUAGGCGACGAUCCCUAGCUGGUCUGAGAGGAUGACCAGCCACACUGGAACUGAGACACGGUCCAGACUCCUACGGGAGGCAGCAGUGGGGAAUAUUGCACAAUGGGCGCAAGCCUGAUGCAGCCAUGCCGCGUGUAUGAAGAAGGCCUUCGGGUUGUAAAGUACUUUCAGCGGGGAGGAAGGGAGUAAAGUUAAUACCUUUGCUCAUUGACGUUACCCGCAGAAGAAGCACCGGCUAACUCCGUG